rnacentral:rRNA from 1 species
UACGGGGGGGGCAAGCGUUGUUCGGAAUUACUGGGCGUAAAGGGCUCGUAGGCGGCCAACUAAGUCGGACGUGAAAUCCCUCGGCUCAACCGGGGAACUGCGUCCGAUACUGGAUGGCUCGAGUCCGGGAGAGGGAUGCGGAAUUCCAGGUGUAGCGGUGAAAUGCGUAGAUAUCAGGAGGAACACCAAUGGCGAAGGCAGCUCGCUGGAACGGUACUGACGCUGAGGCGCGAAAGCGUGGGGAGCAAACAGG